UACGAAGGGGGGCUAGCGUUGCUCGGAAUCACUGGGCGUAAAGGGUGCGUAGGCGGGUCUUUUAAGUCGGGGGUGAAAUCCUGGAGCUCAACUCCAGAACUGCCUUCGAUACUGGCGAUCUUGAGUCCGGAAGAGGUGAGUGGAACUCCUAGUGUAGAGGUGGAAUUCGUAGAUAUUAGGAAGAACACCAGUGGCGAAGGCGGCUCACUGGUCCGGUACUGACGCUGAGGUGCGAAAGCGUGGGGAGCAAACAGGG
rnacentral:rRNA from 1 species